GAUGAACGCUGGCGGCGUGCCUAAUACAUGCAAGUCGAGCGAACAGAUAAGGAGCUUGCUCCUUUGACGUUAGCGGCGGACGGGUGAGUAACACGUGGGUAACCUACCUAUAAGACUGGGAUAACUUCGGGAAACCGGAGCUAAUACCGGAUAACAUUUGGAACCGCAUGGUUCUAAAGUGAAAGAUGGUUUUGCUAUCACUUAAAGAUGGACCCGCGCCGUAUUAGCUAGUUGGUAAGGUAACGGCUUACCAAGGCGACGAUACGUAGCCGACCUGAGAGGGUGAUCGGCCACACUGGAACUGAGACUCGGUCCAGACUCCUACGGGAGGCAGCAGUAGGGAAUCUUCCGCAAUGGGCGAAAGCCUGACGGAGCAACGCCGCGUGAGUGAUGAAGGGUUUCGGCUCGUAAAACUCUGUUAUUAGGGAAGAACAAAUGUGUAAGUAACUGUGCACGUCUUGACGGUACCUAAUCAGAAAGCCACGGCUAACUACGUG
rnacentral:rRNA from 1 species